rnacentral:rRNA from 1 species
ACGUGGGUGAUCUGCCCUGCACUUUGGGAUAAGCCUGGGAAACUGGGUCUAAUACCGAAUACACCCUGCUGGUCGCAUGGCCUGGUGGGGGAAAGCUUUUGCGGUGUGGGAUGGGCCCGCGGCCUAUCAGCUUGUUGGUGGGGUGAUGGCCUACCAAGGCGACGACGGGUAGCCGGCCUGAGAGGGUGUCCGGCCACACUGGGACUGAGAUACGGCCCAGACUCCUACGGGAGGCAGCAGUGGGGAAUAUUGCACAAUGGGCGCAAGCCUGAUGCAGCGACGCCGCGUGAGGGAUGACGGCCUUCGGGUUGUAAACCUCUUUCAACGCCGACGAAGCGUGAGUGACGGUAGGCGUAGAAGAAGCACCGGCCAACUACGUGCCAGCAGCCGCGGUAAUACGUAGGGUGCGAGCG